CGCCUACGGGAGGCAGCAGUGGGGAAUAUUGCACAAUGGGGGAAACCCUGAUGCAGCGACGCCGCGUGAGUGAAGAAGUAUUUCGGUAUGUAAAGCUCUAUCAGCAGGAACGAGACAAGACGGUACCUGACUAAGAAGCCCCGGCUAACUACGUGCCAGCAGCCGCGGGAAUACGUAGGGGGCAAGCGUUAUCCGGAAUCACUGGGUGUAAAGGGAGCGUAGACGGCUGUGCAAGCAUGAAGGGAAAGGCGGGGGCCCAACCCCUGGACUGCUUUGGGGACUGUAAGGCUGGAGUGCAGGGGAGG
rnacentral:rRNA from 1 species